rnacentral:rRNA from 1 species
CCUACGGGGGGCAGCAGUAGGGAAUUUUCGGCAAUGGGGGGAACCCUGACCGAGCAACGCCGCGUGAACGAAGAAGUUAUUCGUAAUGUAAAGUUCUUUUAACAGGGAAGAAAGAGAAAUUUGACGGUACCUGUAGAAUAAGCUCCGGCUAACUACGUGCCAGCAGCCGCGGUAAUACGUAGGGAGCGAGCGGUAUCCGGAAUUAUUGGGCGUAAAGGGUGCGUAGAUGGCAUAGUAAGUCUUUUGUAAAAAUGCUGGGCUCAACCCAGUAGGGCAAAAGAUACUGCAAAGCUAGAGUAUGGCAGAGGCAGGUGGAACUACAGGUGUAGCGGUAAAAUGCGUAGAUAUAUGGAAGAACACCAGUGGCGAAGGCGGCUUGCUGGGUCGAUACUGACAUUGAGGCACGAAAGCGUGGGGAGCAAACAGGAUUAGAUACCCUGGUAGUC